rnacentral:rRNA from 1 species
GACGUAGGUGGCGAACGUUAUCCGGAAUCAUUGGGCGUAAAGGGUGCGUAGAUGGCCUGAUAAGUUAGCAGUGGGAAAUCGAGGCUCAACCUCGUGGAAGCUGGUAAUACUGUUAGGCUAGAGUGCAGGAGAGGUUAACGGAACUCCAUGCGGAGCGGUAAAAUGUGUAGAUAUAUGGAAGAACAUCAAUAACGGCGAAGGCAGUUAACUAUUCUGUUACUGACGUUGAGGCACGAAAGCGUGGGGAGCAAAACGG